CAAGUCCUUCCACUUUCUGAGAAGCCAGGCAUGCUGACCGACAGAGAAGGAAGGAGCCCUGCUGCAAGAAUCUGUGUUGGCCAAGCUCCCCUCACUUGCGCAGACACAGGAACAGAGAGGAGAGUAAUAUUUGGUCUGAUGCUCGCCUGUAGACCAUUAACAGAGGUGAGGAGACUGGAACUCAGGUACUGACUAAACACUGGAGAUACAGAAGGACUAGGACUACUAGCCAGAGGAACAGAUGAGACAUGGGCCUAGACAUCAAAACAGCAGACGAAUGUCUCUCUUCAAGAUUGAAAAUGAGGAAAUUAACCCAAGGCAAGACAAUAUUUUUCCCAGAAUUGCCUCAUAUCCAGCUGAACCUGAUUUCAUCCAUAUGCGUUGUCUCCCCCUACUAAAAUAGUCAUUGGAGUCCAGUGGCAAGACAAAAGUCAAGAUGACUCGUGACGGCCCAGGAUGCAGGGAAGACGUUGGGAUCUUUGAUGUCUGACCAAAUUCUAAGCACUCCACAGCACCUGCUUCAGCUGCCUUUACGGCGGUUGGAACAAA